GCCCUGGUGGCACAGUGGUUAAGCAUUUGGCUGCUAACCAAAAAAGAAAGGUGGGUGUUCAAACCCACCAAUGGCU
rnacentral:tRNA from 1 species